AGCUGGACGGUGGCCAUGGAAGUCGGAAGCCGCUAAGAAGUGUGUAACAACUUACCAGCCGAAUGGAUUAGCCCUGAAAAUGGAUGGCGCUAAAGCAUAUUACUUAUACUCAACCUUUGGGAAGUAAUAAGAAUAAUUUCCCAAAGAGUAGCGGGGCGUGGAGUCAGUUUAGAAAUCGUUACUUGUAAAAGUAGAUGGAACUAACUCUAGUGCAGAUCUUGGUGGUAGUAGCAGUUAAUCAAGCGAGAACCUUGAUGACUGAAGUGGAGAAAGGUUUCCUAUGAACAGCAAUUGGAUAGGAGUUAGUCGAUCCUAAGGUCUAACUUAAUUGUGAUGUUAAUGUUGUUUAAAGAAAAUUUAAUUAAUUUCUUGAAUCUUGACCAAAAGGGUAAUUGGGUUAAUAUUCCAAUACCAAGAUAG
rnacentral:rRNA from 1 species